CUGCGUGGCGCGGCGGCGGGCAAGGGCAGUGCGCAGUGAGUGGCGCUGCGGGUGGUGCCGUCAGCGGCGCUGGUGAGAGAACGCCGAGCAGUCACCGAAGCCUCCGCCGCCGAGAAGCCCGUUCCCGCUGCCGGGAAGCAGAGUCUGUGCCGACAAGAUGGCGGACGGGGAGUUGAACGUGGACAGCCUCAUCACCCGGCUGCUGGAGGUAGGAGGAUGUCGACCAGGAAAGAUUGUGCAGAUGACUGAAGCAGAAGUUCGGGGUUUAUCUAUCAAGUCUCGGGAUAUCGUUCUCAGCCAGCCUAUUCUUUUGGAAUUGGAAGCACCACUGAAAAUGUGUGGAGAUAUUCAUGGACAGUAUACAGAUUUACUGAGAUUAUUUGAAUAUGGAGGUUUCCCACCAGAAGGCAACUACCUUUUCUUAGGAGAUGAUGUGGACAGAGGAAAGGAGUCUUUGGAAACUAUUUGUUUGCUAUUGGCUUAUACAAUAAAAUACCCGGCCGGGCGCGAGAACUUCUUUCUCUUAAGAGGAAACAAUGAGUGUGCUGGCAUCAAUCGCAUUUAUGGAUUCUAUGAUGAAUGCAAACGAAGAUUUAAUAUUAAAUUGUGGAAGACCUUCACUGAUUGUUUUAACUGUCUGCCUAUAGCAGCCAUUGUGGAUGACAAGAUCUUCUGUUGUCAUGGAGGAUUGUCACCAGACCUGCAAUCUAUGGAGCAGAUUAGGAGAAUUAUGAGACCUACCGAUGUCCCCGAUACAGGUUUGCUCUGUGAUUUGCUGUGGUCUGAUCCAGAUAAGGAUGUGCAAGGCUGGGGAGAAAAUGAUCGUGGUGUUUCCUUUACUUUUGGAGCUGAUGUAGUCAGUAAAUUUCUGAAUCGUCAUAAUUUGGAUUUGAUUUGUCAAGCUCAUCAGGUGGUGGAAGAUGGAUAUGAAUAUUUGCUAAACGACAAUUGGUCACCCUAUUUUCAGCCCCAAAUUAUUGUGGCGAGUUUGAUAAUGCUAGUGGAAUGAUGAGUGUACAUGAAACUUUGAUGUGUUCCUUUCAGAUAUUGAAACCAUCUGAAAAGAAAGCUAAGUACCAGAAUGGUGGACUGAAUUCAGGACAUCCUGUCACUCCACCUCAAACAGCUAAUCCACCAAAGAAAAGGUGAAGAAAGGAAUUCUGUAAAGAAACCAUCAGAUUUGUUAAGAACAUACUUCAUAAUAAAAAGUGUGCGCUGUAAAACCAUCCAGCCAUUUGACACCCUUUAUGAUGUCACACCUUUAACUUAAGGAGAAGGGUAAAGGGUCUUAAACUUUUUUCUAAUAGAAAGAUGUGCUACACUGUAUUGUAAUAAGUAUACUCUGUUAUAGUCAACAAAGUUAAAUCCAAAUUCAAAAUUAUCCAUUAAAGUUACAUCUUCCCGUAUCACAAUUUUUAAAGUUGAAAAGCAUCCCAGUUAAACUAGAUGUGAUAGUUAAACCAGAUGAAAGCAUGAUGAUCCAUCUGUGUAAUGUGGUUUUAGUGUUGCUUGGUUGUUUAAUUAUUUUGACCUUGUUUUGUGUUUUUGUUUGUUUUUCGCUAGAAUAAUAGCAAAUACGUCUAAUUUUUUUCCGUAAACAUUUUUAAAAGUGAAAUAUGGGAAGAGCUUUAAAGACAUUCACCAAGUAUUACUUUCCCUUAUUUACCUACUUAGAUACCUGUUUAAUCUUACUAAGAAAACUUAUGCCUCUGUACAUUAAAAAUGAAUUUUAGAGAUUGAUUGAUUAAAAAAAAAAUACGCACACUGUCGAAUCCAGUGAUUUUAAUCAUACAGUUUGACUGGGCAAACUUUACAGCUAAUAGUGCAUAUUUUGCUUUAUACCGAAAUUGCUACUGCUUUGGAUUUGUGCACUCUAAUUU